GGGAGAUUACAUUAACAGGGAAUCCUUCCACAGCAUCAAUGUUCAGAUGAUCUGUGAUGCUGACUGCCUUGUGAGCAAUUUAGAGGCAAAGUGGCCUGGCUCAGUGCAUGACUCUAGAGUCUUUCGGGUUAGUCCAAUUUAUGAGAGACUUUCACAAGGUGAAUUCUCUGGUGUGCUGCUGGGAGAUAAAGGAUACGCCUGUGAGUCAUUCCUCUUGACUCCCCUUGCAGAUCCCCAAACCCCACCACAGCAGGCCUACAACCAUGCACACACCAAGACAAGGGCUCGAAUCGAGAUGACCUUCGGCCUUCUGAAAUCUCGGUUUCAGUGCCUGCACCACCUGAGGAUUUCCCCGGACAGAGCCUGUGAUGUUAUUGCUGCAUGCGUAGUACUGCAUAACAUUGCAGGCCUAAGAAAGGAGAGACCCCC